rnacentral:rRNA from 1 species
AGAGUUUGAUCCUGGCUCAGGAUGAACGCUAGCGGGAGGCCUAACACAUGCAAGCCGAGCGGUAUUGUUUCUUCGGAAAUGAGAGAGCGGCGUACGGGUGCGGAACACGUGUGCAACCUACCUUUAUCUAGAGGAUAGCCUUUCGAAAGGAAGAUUAAUACUCUAUAAUAUAUUAAUUGGCAUCAAUUAAUAUUGAAAGCUCCGGCGGAUAGAGAUGGGCACGCGCAAGAUUAGCUAGUUGGUGAGGUAACGGCUCACCAAGGCGAUGAUCUUUAGGGGGCCUGAGAGGGUGAUCCCCCACACUGGUACUGAGACACGGACCAGACUCCUACGGGAGGCAGCAGUGAGGAAUAUUGGUCAAUGGGUGCAAGCCUGAACCAGCCAUCCCGCGUGAAGGAUUAAGGUCCUAUGGAUUGUAAACUUCUUUUGUAUAGGGAUAAACCUACCCUCGUGAGGGUAGCUGAAGGUACUAUACGAAUAAGCACCGGCUAACUCCGUG